rnacentral:rRNA from 1 species
UUUUUGAAGUCUUCGGAUGGAUAGAAGAACCCCUGAUGCCGUCGAGCCAAGAAAAGUUUCUAAGUUUAGCUAAUGUUGCCCGUACCGUAAACCGACACAGGUGGGUGGGAUGAGUAUUCUAAGGCGCGUGGAAGAACUCUCUUUAAGGAACUCUGCAAAAUAGCACCGUAUCUUCGGUAUAAGGUGUGGUUAGCUUUGUAUUAGGAUUUACUCCGAAAGCAAGGAAACUUACAACAAAGAGUCCCUCCCGACUGUUUACCAAAAACACAGCACUCUGCUAACUCGUAAGAGGAUGUAUAGGGUGUGACGCCUGCCCGGUGCUCGAAGGUUAAUUGAUGGGGUUAGCAUUAGCGAAGCUCUUGAUCGAAGCCCGAGUAAACGGCGGCCGUAACUAUAACGGUCCUAAGGUAGCGAAAUUCCUUGUCGGUUAAAUACCGACCUGCAUGAAUGGCGUAACGAGAUGGGAGCUGUCUCAAAGAGGGAUCCAGUGAAAUUGUAGUGGAGGUGAAAAUUCCUCCUACCCGCGGCAAGACGGAAAGACCCCGUGGACCUUUACUACAGCUUGACACUGCUACUUGGAUAAGAAUGUGCAGGAUAGGUGGGAGGCUUUGAGUAUAUGACGCCAGUUGUAUAUGAGCCAUUGUUGAGAUACCACUCUUUCUUAUUUGGGUAGCUAACCAGCUUGAGUUAUCCUCAAGUGGGACAAUGUCUGGUGGGUAGUUUGACUGGGGCGGUCGCCUCCCAAAUAAUAACGGAGGCUUACAAAGGUUGGCUCAGAACGGUUGGAAAUCGUUCGUAGAGUAUAAAGGUAUAAGCCAGCUUAACUGCAAGACAUACAAGUCAAGCAGAGACGAAAGUCGGUCUUAGUGAUCCGGUGGUUCUGUGUGGAAGGGCCAUCGCUCAAAGGAUAAAAGGUACCCCGGGGAUAACAGGCUGAUCUCCCCCAAGAGCUCACAUCGACGGGGAGGUUUGGCACCUCGAUGUCGGCUCAUCGCAUCCUGGGGCUGGAGCAGGUCCCAAGGGUAUGGCUGUUCGCCAUUUAAAGCGGUACGCGAGCUGGGUUCAGAACGUCGUGAGACAGUUCGGUCCCUAUCUGCCGUGGGCGUAAGAAGAUUGAAGAGAUUUGACCCUAGUACGAGAGGACCGGGUUGAACAAACCACUGGUGUAGCUGUUGUUCUGCCAAGAGCAUCGCAGCGUAGCUAAGUUUGGAAAGGAUAAACGCUGAAAGCAUCUAAGCGUGAAGCCAACUCUAAGAUGAAUCUUCUCUAAGCUCUCUAGAAGACUACUAGUUUGAUAGGCUGGGUGUGUAAUGGAUGAAAGUCCUUUAGCUGACCAGUACUAAUAGAGCGUUUGGCUUAUCUUU